UCCAAGGUGAUCUCCAAGUUCUUCCUCAGUCUUGAGGUUUGGGAUUCCCGGUUUUUGUCAGUAGAAUUGUGAGAGUAUACCUCCAAGGUGACUUCCAAGUUCUUCCUCAGUCCAGAGGUUUUGGUUUCUCAGUUUGAGUAAGCAGAAUGGGAGAGUAGAGGCCCACUUCAGAUCAACGAGUGGAUCCUGUCUCAACCUAAGCUCUAAGGUUGCUUGUGCUGUUAGGGUCACAGCUACAG
rnacentral:lncRNA from 1 species